GGCUCAGAUUGAACGCUGGCGGCAUGCCUUACACAUGCAAGUCGAACGGCAGCACGGGACUUCGGGUCUGGUGGCGAGUGGCGAACGGGUGAGUAAUGCAUCGGAACGUGCCAUUGAGUGGGGGAUAACGUAGCGAAAGUUGCGCUAAUACCGCAUAUUCUGUGAGCAGGAAAGCAGGGGACCGCAAGGCCUUGCGCUCUUUGAGCGGCCGAUGUCAGAUUAGCUAGUUGGUGAGGUAAAGGCUUACCAAGGCGACGAUCUGUAGCGGGUCUGAGAGGAUGAUCCGCCACACUGGAACUGAGACACGGUCCAGACUCCUACGGGAGGCAGCAGUGGGGAAUUUUGGACAAUGGGGGCAACCCUGAUCCAGCCAUGCCGCGUGAGUGAAGAAGGCCUUCGGGUUGUAAAGCUCUUUCGGCCGGGAUGAAAUCGCAUGGGCCAAUACCCUGUGUGGAUGACGGUACCGGAAUAAGAAGCACCGGCUAACUACGUG
rnacentral:rRNA from 1 species